rnacentral:rRNA from 1 species
UACGUAGGGUGCAAGCGUUAAUCGGAAUUACUGGGCGUAAAGCGUGCGCAGGCGGUUGUGCAAGACAGAUGUGAAAUCCCGGGCUCCAACCUGGGAACUGCAUUUGUGACUGCACGGCUGGAGUGCGGCAGAGGGGAUGGAAUUCCGCGUGUAGCAGUGAAAUGCGUAGAUAUGCGGAGGAACACCGAUGGCGAAGGCAAUCCCCUGGGCCUGCACUGACGCUCAUGCACGAAAGCGUGGGAGCAAACAGG